GAAGCGAGAGUAAACACCAAAGGGACACAAUAAGACAUUUUCAUCUCUGCGUUAUUCUUCAGAGGAAUGAAGUCACCUCUAGUCGGUGACGACAGUACCGAGAAUAUCGCGCGUUAUCUGACGUGUAAACACAUCGAUAUGACGUGUGACACUGUGUGACGUCAUGACAGCACGCGCCUGACGUUGUCUUAACGCUGCAAACGGUUAGUGAGAGAGAGCUGAGUGUGAAGACUGACACAUUGCACUGCUUGAACUCGUCUGUCAACUGUCAGGUGGUUAACAUGUUGACAACAAUGAUUUUACCCUUCAUACUUCUUUCUACGGCCUCUUGUCUUGAAGCCGUGAACAAAGGAAGUGUCCCCAAAGCACAAGUCAUGCUACAGUUGCAUGGCAUGGACUACUCGCUGUUCGGCUACAACAGUCUCAAGGGAUGCCCUCUGACCUCAGGACGUGACCCGGGCUUUACUCUCCCCAUCUUUUCUGGUGAGUU